UCGGAUUAGCUAGUUGGUGAGGUAAUGGCUCACCAAGGCGACGAUCCGUAACUGGUCUGAGAGGAUGAUCAGUCACACUGGAACUGAGACACGGUCCAGACUCCUACGGGAGGCAGCAGUGGGGAAUAUUGGACAAUGUGCGAAAGCCUGAUCCAGCCAUGCCGCGUGUGUGAAGAAGGUCUUCGGAUUGUAAAGCACUUUAAGUUGGGAGGAAGGGCAGUUACCUAAUACGUGAUUGUUUUGACGUUACCGACAGAAUAAGCACCGGCUAACUCUGUGCCAGCAGCCGCGGUAAUACAGAGGGUGCAAGCGUUAAUCGGAAUUACUGGGCGUAAAGCGCGCGUAGGUGGUUUGUUAAGUUGGAUGUGAAAUCCCCGGGCUCAACCUGGGAACUGCAUUCAAAACUGACUGACUAGAGUGUGGUAGAGGGUGGUGGAAUUUCCUGUGUAGCGGUGAAAUGCGUAGAUAUAGGAAGGAACACCAGUGGCGAAGGCGACCACC
rnacentral:rRNA from 1 species